GCGGAGGAAAAGAAAGCAACAGCGAUAGCCUCAGUAACGGCGAGUGAAGCGGCUACAGCUCAAAUUUGAAAUCUGGCCUCCUUUGGUGGUCCGAGUUGUAAUUUGCAGAGGAUGCUUUGGCAUUGGCGGCGGUCUAAGUUCCUUGGAACAGGACAUCGCAGAGGGUGAGAAUCCCGUACGUGGGCGCCUGCCUUUGCCGUGUAAAGCUCCUUCGACGAGUCGAGUUGUUUGGGAAUGCAGCUCUAAAUGGGAGGUAAAUUUCUCCUAAAGCUAAAUACCGGCCAGAGACCGAUAGCGCACAAGUAGAGUGAUCGAAAGAUGAAAAGUACUUUGGAAAGAGAGUCAAAUAGCACGUGAAAUUGUUGAAAGGGAAGCGCUUGCAGCCAGACUUGCCCGCAGUUGCUCACCCAGGCUCUCGCCUGGGGCACUCUUCUGCGGGCAGGCCAGCAUCAGUUUGGGCGGUCGGAUAAAGGCUCCUGUCAUGUACCACCCCUCGGGGUGGCCUUAUAGGGGGGGCGUAAUGCGACCAGCCCGGACUGAGGUCCGCGCAUCUGCUA
rnacentral:sRNA from 1 species